rnacentral:rRNA from 1 species
CGUUAGUGCGGACUAAGUUCUUCGGCCUCUCGACGGCCUUCCUGUGGGCUCCUUCCUCGGGGGCGGCCCGUGGCUGAUCCCAUUACUUUGCUAAAUCUGAGUGCUCAGGUGGGCCUUUCGUUUGUAUGUUUUUGCUUGGAAUGCUAAAAUAUGGCUUCAGUCUCGUUUGAAUGCUGUGUGCGAGGAAUAAUGUAAUAAGAACACACUUCUGGGGGGUUUGUUUUUGGAACCCCAGAGUAAUGAUUCUUGGACCGGAUGGGGGCACCUACAUUGAAACCUUUUGCGUGACUUGUCUGCAUUAACCCAAAACGAACAUAAGAGGAUCCAUUGGGAUCAAACACCGCCCUUGUUCUAAACGUAAACUAUGACGUCCAAAGGUUAUCCGAUGGAAUAUUUGCUCUGGCCAGGAGCUUCCCGGAAAAGAAAGUGGCCCCGCUCCGGGGGAAGCAUGGGGGCAAAUUUGAAACAACACGGAAAACAUCACAGGGCCCCACCACGAGAGGAGCUGACGGAUUAAUAUGUCUCUACAGAUGAGAAGUGUCCUGGCCCAGACCCGUUAUGGAUUGGUGGAGCGAUAGCUCUUUUUAAUUCCGAUGGAUGGUGAGACAUUACCGUUCUAAGUUGGUGGAUUGAUUACAUCUCAAAAUUCCGUCGUCCAGGCCGACUGGUGCUGGGUAAAUAGUACGUUCAUUUCGGCGGUGUAGCAAUACUUCCUAGAGGAACAGGUGG